GUCACGAUAUGGACAGAUGCGAAGGCCUUCCCGACGACCGACAAGAACAGGCGCCCACACCCGAAGUGCCACUAGCCUUUGUCCACAUCAACGUGCUGCGUGACCAGCUGGCACGUGAUCUUCGAGUGCAUGACGCACCGUUUCCGUUCGACCAGGAGAGGGCCAUUGCCGACUGGGUGUUUCUGUGCCUUAUCGUUGAAAACGACUUCCUACCGAAUCUGCCUUCCUUGUC